UCCAUUCGACAGGGGUGCUCCGUAAUGCCGGGGCUGAGAUGCGGGCGACAUGUCCGUGGACCCUCAAGCUGAUCUGGUUAAUGCCAGCGGAGCGAGGCGAGAUGUUCUCAGG
rnacentral:ncRNA from 1 species